AGAUUGAACGCUGGCGGCAUGCCUUACACAUGCAAGUCGAACGGCAGCACGGGGGCAACCCUAGUGGCGAGUGGCGAACGGGUGAGUAAUAUAUCGGAACGUGCCCUGGAGUGGGGGAUAACGUAGCGAAGGUUACGCUAAUACCGCAUACGAUCUACGGAUGAAAGUGGGGGAUUCGCAAGAACCUCAUGCUCGUGGAGCGGCCGAUAUCUGAUUAGCUAGUUGGUAGGUAAAGCUACCAAGGCGACGAUCUGUAGCUGGUCUGAGAGGACGACCAGCCACACUGGAACUGAGACACGGUCCAGACUCCUACGGGAGGCAGCAGUGGGAAUUUGGACAAUGGGCGCAAGCCUGAUCCAGCAAUGCCGCGUGCAGGAUGGAGGCCUUCGGGUUGUAAACUACGUUUGUUAC
rnacentral:rRNA from 1 species